UACGUAGGGUGCAAGCGUUAUCCGGAAUUAUUGGGCGUAAAGAGCUCGUAGGCGGUGUGUCGCGUCGGCCGUGAAAACCUGCAGCUUAACUGUGGGCGUGCGGUCGAUACGGGCAUCACUGGAGUUCGGCAGGGGAGACUGGAAUUCCUGGUGUAGCGGUGAAAUGCGCAGAUAUCAGGAGGAACACCGGUGGCGAAGGCGGGUCUCUGGGCCUUACCUGACGCUGAGGAGCGAAAGCGUGGGUAGCGAACAGG
rnacentral:rRNA from 1 species